GCCUGGGUGGUGGAAUGGCAGACACAACGGACUUAAAAUCCGUUGACCGUAAGGUCGUGCGGGUUCGAGUCCCGCCCCAGGCA
rnacentral:tRNA from 1 species